AACGAACGCUGGCGGCAGGCUUAACACAUGCAAGUCGAACGCCCCGCAAGGGGAGUGGCAGACGGGUGGGUAACGCGUGGGAACGUACCCUUUGCUACGGAAUAGCUCCGGGAAACUGGAAUUAAUACCGUAUGUGCCCUACGGGGGAAAGAUUUAUCGGCAAAGGAUCGGCCCGCGUUGGAUUAGGUAGUUGGUGGGGUAAUGGCCUACCAAGCCGACGAUCCAUAGCUGGUUUGAGAGGAUGAUCAGCCACACUGGGACUGAGACACGGCCCAGACUCCUACGGGAGGCAGCAGUGGGGAAUCUUAGACAAUGGGGGAAACCCUGAUCUAGCCAUGCCGCGUGAUCGAUGAAGGCCUUAGGGUUGUAAAGAUCCUUCAGGUGGGAAGGUAAUGACUGUACCACCAGAAGAAGCCCCGGCUAACUCCGUGCCAGCAGCCGCGGUAACAC
rnacentral:rRNA from 1 species